UACGGAGGGGGCUAGCGUUGCUCGGAAUUACUGGGCGUAAAGCGCACGUAGGCGGCUUUGCAAGUUAGAGGUGAAAGCCCGGGGCUCAACUCCGGAAUUGCCUUUAAGACUGCAUCGCUAGAACGUCGGAGAGGUGAGUGGAAUUCCGAGUGUAGAGGUGAAAUCGUAGAUAUUCGCAAGAACACCAGUGGCGAAGGCGGCUGACUGGUCCGGUUCUGGACGCUGA
rnacentral:rRNA from 1 species